UACAGAGGGGGCGAGCGUUGUUCGGAAUUACUGGGCGUAAAGGGCGCGUAGGCGGCCUUCUAAGUCGAACGUGAAAUCCCCGGGCUCAACCCGGGAACUGCGUCCGAUACUGGGAGGCUUGAAUCCGGGAGAGGGAUGUGGAAUUCCAGGUGUAGCGGUGAAAUGCGUAGAUAUCGGAAGGAACACCAGUGGCGAAAGCGACUUCCUGGUCCAAUACUGACGUUCAUGUGCGAAAGCGUGGGGAGCAAACAGG
rnacentral:rRNA from 1 species